rnacentral:misc_RNA from 1 species
GCAAACUUGGUCAUUUAGAGGAAGUAAAAGUCGUAACAAGGUUUCCGUAGGUGAACCUGCGGAAGGAUCAUUACCGAGUGCGCCCUCCGUAAAAAAGAGGGUACCUCCCGUCCUUUGCUGGCCUUUCGGGGCUUUUUUAAUUUCUGCUUCGGCGGGGUUACCCGCCGGAACACCUUUAAAACUCUUUGACAAAUCGUUCCGUCCGAGGGCUUUUUGCGAAUAAAAAAAACUUUCAACAACGGAUCUCUUGGUUCUGGCAUCGAUGAAGAACGCAGC